AUUGAACGCUGGCGGCAGGCUUAACACAUGCAAGUCGAGCUAGCGGCAGACGGGUGAGUAAUGACUGGGAAACUGCCUGAUGGAGGGGGAUAACUACUGAAAACGGUAGCUCAUACCGCAUACCAUCCGAUCUGCCAAGAUGGGCUUAGCUAGUAGGUGGGUUAAUGGAUCACCUAGGCGACGAUCCCUAUCUGGUCUGAGAGGAUGACCAGCCACACUGGAACUGAGACACUGUCCAGACUCCUACGGGAGGCAGCAGUGGUGAAUAUUGCACAAUGGGCGCAAGCCUGAUGCAGCCAUGCCGCGUGUGUGAAGAAGGCCUUCGGGUUGUAAAGCACUUUCAGCGAGGAGGCGUUACUCGCAGAAGAAGCACCGGCUAACUCCGUGCCAGCAGCCGCGGUAAUAC
rnacentral:rRNA from 1 species